UGAAAGCAAGUUCAAUGAAGAACCAAAGAGAAUUCGCCUCUCUUGAAAUAAAAUGCAUAAACUGAAAUACAUCCCAAUCUUUAUCGUACAAUACUAAAAACUAAGUAUUUAUAAGCUAAGAAACCUUAAAAUUAAAUAAAACAUAAAGCCCGGUUUAAUAGGCCCAAUUAUACUGAUUAAAAUAUAGAACUAAAUAAAAUUCUCAAAGCCCACAUGUUUGGAUCAUGUUAAUUAGCCUUGGAUCUUCUUUUAAGUCUAUCUCUUCAUAAUCACCGAAGCUUGUUGAUUUUCAUUAUUGGACACGGAUCAUAUGCUCUUUCUUGAAAUGGAUUUGUCCUCAAAUUCGAAUCUUUAUUGCUGCAUAAGUAUGUUGUUGUAUCCCUUCCUUUAAGUGAAACUGGAUCAAUGCAUACCCCCGAUCAAAUGGAAAGUUAUUGAAUCUCUUAUCUUGCAUAGGAUCAAACUAAUCAAUAGAAGUGCUCUCCCUUUAGUUCCAGAAUCUUCAUUUUAUCAAAGUAUGUAUCCAAUUUUUGCACUUUUGAGUACCUGCUAUAAAUUACAAUAAAAUCAAGGUUAACACUAUCACAACUAUCAAUAAAUUUAAUAAAUUUACAAAGAUUAUAUUUUAUUGGUUGCACAAAAGUGCUAUGCAACUCCUUUUAAGUAUAAAGUUUACCCAAUGUAUAAUUCCUUCAAUAGACAACGGUUUCAUCUUGCAAUUCCACUUAGCUAUAAUAGAAUUCUCUUCUACUAGUUGUAUCUUUUCCAUUUUCUCUUCAAUUAAUGGCUCUAAUUUACCCUUGAUCAUAAAUAAACUUUCUCCUUUUCUUUUCUCUAAUAAAAGAUUAUUAGCUUGUACUUGUUGUGAAUUAAGAGGUACUAAGUUUAUUUUUCUUCCAUCCUUCAUUAAAGAACAAGUUCCUUUGGCUUUAUCAUGAUUAGCAUGCCUAUUAACAUGCCAUGGUUUUCUUAAAAGCAAGUGACUAGAACUCGUUGAAGUCACAUCACAUAAUAUCUUAUCUUUGUACCUGCUUAUUGAAAAUAGAACUAGAAUUUAUGUAGUCACCCUUACCUCACUAUCUUUGUUUAGCCACUGAAGCUUGUAUGGAUUAGAGUGUAUGGUAGUAAAUAAUCCUAGUUUUUCUAUAAAGUAAGUAGAAGCUACAUUGACACAACUGUAUUAUCAAUAAUAAUUCUACUAAUCUUAUUACUGUUUAUUAAGAACGUAGUGUGAAAUACCAUCACCUUAUGCUCAUCAUUAUUAUUUCCAUAAGCAUUAGGAACAUGCCUUAGUUACCUUCUUUUGCAAGUUAUCAAUAAGUGCAUCAUGUUUUUCCCUUCUAUGUCUUAUCUCUUCAACCAUCAUAAUCACGUGCUCAAACUGUUUUUAUAUAGCUUGAAGAAUAGAAAAUUCAUCUUGCUGCUUUACGUCAUUAUAUUUGUUAAACAUGAUAAUAAAUUGACAAAAACUGAAAUAAAUAGAACCAAACAAUAACAAGAAAUAUGGCAACAAUAAUUUUUUAUUUCAACAAAAGAACAAGAAUAAGAUGAUUUAACAUUAAAACAAGCAUAUCAGAAGGAAACAGAAGAAAAUGAAAAGCAAACUUAAACAAAUGGAAGCAUAUUGAAACAAACGGAAACAAACAAAAUCAAAUGGAAACAAACGAAAGCAAAAGGAAUCAAAUGGAAGCAAACAGAAUCAAACGGAAGUAAAUGGAAUCAAAUGAAAACAAAUAGAAUCAAAUGAAUAUAAACGAAAAAAAAAUAUAGAUAGAAUCUGAUUUGAGCCAACGCUCUGAUACCAAAUAAUGCGAAACCCUAGGAAUUGUGUCUUGACACCCAAAAUCAGAUUUGAUAUAUAACCCUAAAUCCCAAAUUAUGAAUUUCUUCUUAGAUAGAAUUGUGGAUCUUGACUCAAUACUCAACUAGAAGUAUAAACCAAAGAUAUCAAGGUGAAAGGAUAGCGCCAUAAUGAUUAAUUAUCUUUGAUAAGUUCGAAAGCAAGUUCAAUGAAUCACCAAAGAUAAUUCACCUCUGUUGAAAUAAAACGCAUAAAUUGAAAUUUUUCUCAAUCUCUUCCUUAAUACUAAAAACUAAGUAUUUAUAAACUAAGAAAUACUAAAAAUUAAAUAAAAAAUAAAGCUCUAUUUAAAUAGACCCAAUUACGCUAAUUAAAAUAUAAAACUAAUUAAAAGACUCAAAAUCCAUAUGUUUAGAUCAUGUUAAUUAGGAUUGGAUCUUCUUUUAAGUACAUCUCUCCAUGAUCACCAUGAGCUUAUUGAUUUUCAUUAUUGGACACACAUCAGAAAGAGAAAACGAGAAAAAUCAACACCAAGAAUUAUAGUGGUUCAAUAUUUCUCAUGCCUACAUUCAUUCCUCAAGAAAUCAUCUUGAGAUCUUCCACUAUCAAACUCUUUUCAGAGGCAAGAGUAGAGCCAAAUACAAUAGAAAAAGCCCUAACACCUAGAAUUAACCAUAUCCCACAAGUUUUUCAAAAGACUUGUAAAUUUCCCUUAUAGUUUUUAUUAAAGAACUAAAUAAACUUAACCUUACUAGUUUUUACAAUGAACUAGGAGAUUUAAAUUGUUUUGGCAAAGAAUAAUGAAACUUGUAAGCCUUGCUCUUACUCAAAGAAGGGUACUUGAAUAUCCAUACAAUACAAGCUUCACACAAAGUUUUUCACUCACAACAAUUUGAGAUUAAAAGAGUUCUAAUCUAUUCUAAAUUUACAAAAUUUAUAGUAGAUAGAAUGAUAUGCAAAGUAGGCCUAGGAAAGAGAUUUUUAUAAAUAAAACAUAUUAGUUUUGAAAAUCUCUCUCUAAAGAUUGAUUACAAUCUUCUCUUAUAAUUUAUGCAAGGAAAGAAUGAAGAAGAAGGAUAUCAAGAUAAGAGAGUUUGUAAGAUGAAAACACAAAAUCAGUUUUAUCUCUCAUACCUUAGAAUUUCCGCCGAGCUUUUGAUUUAGACCCAGAAUUCUUAUUCUUCUCGUUAGCUAGAGAAGUUAAC
rnacentral:lncRNA from 1 species